rnacentral:lncRNA from 1 species
GUUAAUUCAGAUUCGGUACGGAUAUAAUUCGGAUAAAUUUUUUUUUAAUUUUUAAAUUUGUUGAAAAAUACGAUUAAAAAACGGAUUCGAUAAUUAUUCGGAUAAGUGAUUUAUACGGAUAUUAUACGUUCACCAAUUAAAAAUUCAAAAUAAAAAAUUCGACUAUAUAUAUAAUAAUUAAUAUACUAUAUAUAUUAUUAUUAUAAUUUUUAUAUAUAGAUUAAAUAUAUUUAAAAUUAUAAUAAAUAUAUAUUAAUAAUAUAUUAGAGUUAUAUAUUUAGAAAUAUUAAUAAAUAAUUACAAAUUUAUAAAUAAAAUAUUAUAUAAUAAUAUUUUUAUUUAAAAAUAAAAUACAAUAUAUUUAUAAAUAGAAUUAUAUAUAUAUAUAUAUAUAUAUAUAUAUAUAUAUCAU